rnacentral:rRNA from 1 species
AUUGAACGCUGGCGGCAGGCCUAACACAUGCAAGUCGAGCGAGCGGCGGACGGGUGCGUACUGUCUGGGAAACUGCCUGAUGCAGGGGGAUCACUACUGGAAACGGUAGCUAAUACCGCAUACAAUCGGCUUUGCCCAGAGGGGAUUAGCUAGUAGGUGGGGUAACGGCUCACCUAGGCGACGAUCCCUAGCUGGUCUGAGAGGAUGACCAGCCACACUGGAACUGAGACACGGUCCAGACUCCUACGGGAGGCAGCAGUGGGGAAUAUUGCGCAAUGGGCGAAAGCCUGAUGCAGCCAUGCCGCGUGUAUGAAGAAGGCCUUCGGGUUGUAAAGUACUGUCAUCGGGGAGGCGUUAUCCGCAGAAGAAGCACCGGCUAACUACGUGCCAGCCGCCGCGGUAAUAC